ACCCACUAGUAGUCCCAGUUACUUGGGAGGCUGAGGUAGGAGGAUCACUUGAGCCCAGGAGUUUGGGGCCAGCCUGGGCCACAGAGUGAGACUUCAUCUCAA
rnacentral:sRNA from 1 species